rnacentral:rRNA from 1 species
CCUACUAUGCUAGGCCGUAAACCAGACAGUACCUACACCCCACUGUCCGCCAGAGAACUACAGGCAACAGCUUAAAACUCAAAGGACUUGGCGGUGUCCCAAAACAACCUAGAGGAGCCUGUCCUAUAAUCCGAUACUACACGCUACACCCAACCGCCCAUUGCAACCAAGCACAGCCUAUAUACCGCCGUCACCAGUCCACCUUAUGAAAGCCACCAAGUGGACAAAACCGUCACACCACAAACACGUCAGGUCGAGGUGUAGCUAAUGGGGCGGAAGAGAUGGGCUACAUUUUCCUAAGAUGACCACACGGACAGCAGCGUGAAACACCUGCUCGAAGGCGGAUUUAGUAGUAAAAUAAAUAACCUUCCUUAUUUUAACCCUGCUCUGGGACACGCACACACCGCCCGUCACCCUCUUCGACACCCGCGAUAAACCCGUCCAUAAAAACCCGCACAACCUAAAGAAGAGACAAGUCGUA